rnacentral:rRNA from 1 species
GAUCAACGCUGGCGGCGUGCCUAAUACAUGCAAGUCGAGCGAACGGACGAGAAGCUUGCUUCUCUGAUGUUAGCGGCGGACGGGUGAGUAAAACGUGGAUAACCUACCUAUAAGACUGGGAUAACUUCGGGAAACCGGAGCUAAUACCGGAUAAUAUUUUGAACCGCAUGGUUCAAAAGUGAAAGACGGUCUUGCUGUCACUUAUAGAUGGAUCCGCGCUGCAUUAGCUAGUUGGUAAGGUAACGGCUUACCAAGGCAACGAUGCAUAGCCGACCUGAGAGGGUGAUCGGCCACACUGGAACUGAGACACGGUCCAGACUCCUACGGGAGGCAGCAGUAGGGAAUCUUCCGCAAUGGGCGAAAGCCUCACGGAGCAACGCCGCGUGAGUGAUGAAGGUCUUCGGAUCGUAAAACUCUGUUAUUAGGGAAGAACAUAUGUGUAAGUAACUGUGAACAUCUUGACGGUACCUAAUCAGAAAGCCACGGCUAACUACGUG